UACCAGCUCUCCGAGUGGUGUGGAUGUUUAUUGGGCCUAAAGCAUCCGUAGCUGGCUGGACAAGUCCCCUGUUAAAUCCACCGAUUUAAUCGUUGGUGUGCGGGGGAUACUGUUCGGCUGGGGGACGGGAGAGGCCGACGGUAUUUCCGGGGUAGGGGUGAAAUCCUAUAAUCCCGGGAAGACCACCAGUGGCGAAGGCUGUCGGCUAGAACGCGCCCGACGGUGAGGGAUGAAAGCUGGGGGAGCGAACCGGAUUAGAUACCCGGGUAGUCCCAGCUGUAAACGAUGCAGGCUAGGUGUUUGGGCGGCCACGUGCCGCUCUAGUGCCGCAAGGAAGCUGUUAAGCCUGCCGCCUGGGGAGUACGGCCGCAAGGCUGAAACUUAAAGGAAUUGGCGGGGGAGCACCACAAGGGGUGAAGCUUGCGGUUU
rnacentral:rRNA from 1 species